CAGGCCCAGAAAAACAGGUCGGACUCUGACUCUCACCCUCAGAUCUGUCCACACACUUUGGGAGGAUCCUGCCGACGAGACUCUCAGUCCCUGAAAUCUGCAGCUUCCUCCUCCUUCCUUCCUCGGUCGCUCCGGUGGCCGACUGAGCUGUAAAAAAUCAAUGGGGAAAAUGUCCUGAAAACAGCCGAUCCAGAAGCCAUCUGGCUCUCGAAGUCCUCCGAGACCGACGGGACGUCCCCGAGGGACGAGACGCAUGCAGGAGAAGCUCAGGGAGAGGGGGAGAAAGAGAAGAAGCCCGAGCACACAACAACACAAAGCCAGUAUAAACUCAAUAACAUGGAAAUCCUCAGUAUCAUGUGGCUGUUACAUAACAGAAGCUCUGGUAGAUACAGACUGGUCACAAUAAUACAUUCUACCAAAACAAGUUCCUCUGUCGACACACUGGACCUCUUGUGGUUUUAAGUUGUGCCAACAAGUGAGUUAGGAGACAAGUUCACCAGUUGUCUUGUAUUUUGAGUUUUCUUGCUCCAGACCUGUUGCAGGAGUCGC